GAAAUCUUAGCUUAAUUAAAGCAUCUGGGUUGCAUUCAGAAGAUGUGGUUAAAGUUCUACAGAUUUUA
rnacentral:tRNA from 1 species